rnacentral:rRNA from 1 species
GCCCGCACAAGCGGAGGAACAUGUGGUUUAAUUCGAUGAUACGCGAGGAACCUUACCCGGGUUUAAAUUGCAACCGGAUAUGGCGGAAACGCCAUAGCUAGCAAUAGCGGUUGUGAAGGUGCUGCAUGGUUGUCGUCAGCUCGUGCCGUGAGGUGUCGGCUUAAGUGCCAUAACGAGCGCAACCCUUGCCGAUAGUUACUAACAGGUCAUGCUGAGGACUCUGUCGGGACUGCCAUCGUAAGAUGUGAGGAAGGUGGGGAUGACGUCAAAUCAGCACGGCCCUUACGUCCGGGGCUACACACGUGUUACAAUGGGGGGUACAGAGGGCUGCUACCACGCAAGUGGAUGCCAAUCCCAAAAACCUCUCUCAGUUCGGAUUGAAGUCUGCAACCCGACUUCAUGAAGCUGGAUUCGCUAGUAAUCGCGCAUCAGCCACGGCGCGGUGAAUACGUUCCCGGGCCUUGUACACACCGCCCGUCAAGCCAUGGGAGCCGGGGGUACCUGAAGUGCGUAACCGCAAGGAGCGCCCUAGGGUAAAACUGGUGACUGGGGCUAAGUCGUAACAAGGUAGCCGU